GACGGAAGGUGCAAGCGUUGCUCGGAAUCACUGGGCGUAAAGGGUGCGUAGGCGGCCGCGCAAGUCUGGCGUGAAAGCCCCGGGCUCAGCCCGGGAAGGGCGCUCGAAACGGCGCGGCUCGAGUGCCGGAGGGGAGAGUGGAAUUCCUGGUGUAGCGGUGAAAUGCGCAGAUAUCAGGAAGAACACCCGUGGCGAAAGCGGCUCUCUGGAACGGUACUGACGCUGAGACGCGAAAGCGUGGGGAGCGAACAGG
rnacentral:rRNA from 1 species